rnacentral:rRNA from 1 species
UACGUAAGGGGGCAAGCGUUAUCCGGAUUUACUGGGUGUAAAGGGAGCGCAGACGGCAGUGCAAGUCUGAUGUGAAAGCCCGGGGCUCAACCCCGGAACUGCAUUGGAAACUGUACAGCUUGAGUGUCGGAGAGGUAAGCGGAAUUCCUAGUGUAGCGGUGAAAUGCGUAGAUAUUAGGAGGAACACCGGUGGCGAAGGCGGCUUACUGGACGAUAACUGACGUUGAGGCUCGAAAGCGUGGGGAGCAAACAGG